GUGCUCACUUUGGCAGCACAUAUUCUAAAAUUGGAACCAUACAGCUAAGAUUAGCCUGGCUCCUGCUCUGCUCAAGGUUGACUCUCAAAUUCAUGAAGUGUUCCAUAGUUUU
ensembl:snRNA U6 U6 spliceosomal RNA